rnacentral:misc_RNA from 1 species
AAUCUAUAGGUGAUUCCUUGACAGUUUCGUCAGCUUCUACUACUCUUUCAAAAUCAUCUAUCUGCCCUUCAAUUUCGCCUGUCUCAGAUUCAUCAAUUUCUUCAUCUUCUUCAAUACAAAGAAAAUCUUCAUCAUCAUCAUCUUCACUAUCUGGUUCCUGAUGUCUGGCCGGUUUCAAAUCUUUCUUGAUCACACGCAGCAUCUGAAGAAGUCCAUCAUUUGU